rnacentral:lncRNA from 1 species
UCUGAAGGGGCUUUUUGCAUCUUUUGGGAGCCCCCUUAUUCGGGGUUUGUCAAAUUAAUUAUGAUAAUAGUAUCAGAGAUGGCAGGGGUGGUGUUGACUAUGUCAUCUAAUGUCCAAAUGUUAGAUUGCUGACGAUGGAGCGCUCAUAUAUUUUUGAGCCUUCUAUCUCAAAAGUUGAGCUUUGAGCUACCUAGGCAAACAUUAUCUGCACUAGA